AUUGAACGCUGGCGGCAGGCCUAACACAUGCAAGUCGAACGAGUGGCGUACGGGUGAGCAAUGUCUGGGAAACUGCCUGAUGGAUGGGGAUAACUACUGGAAACGGUAGCUAAUACCGCAUAACAUCAGAUGUGCCCAGAUGGGAUUAGGUUGUGGUUGGGGUAACGGCCUACCACGGCGACGAUCCCUAGUUGGUCUGAGAGGAUGAUCAGCCACACGGGAACUGAGAAACGGUCCAGACUCCUACGGGAGGCAGCAGUGGGGAAUAUUGCACAAUGGGCGAAAGCCUGAUGCAGCCAUGCCGCGUGUAUGAAGAAGGCCUUCGGGUUGUAAAGUACUUUCAGCGGGGAGGCGUUACCAGCAGAAGAAGCACCGGCUAACUCCGUGCCAGCAGCCGCGGUAAUAC
rnacentral:rRNA from 1 species